rnacentral:rRNA from 1 species
CUGACGUCUCAGGGCAGGCCGAGCGGCGUCGUCGCGCCGUCUAAGCAGCGAAUCCUGUGGAGAGCCGUAAUGGCGAGAAAUAGGAGAAUCUGUGAUGGCUAAAGUCGGCUGCACCCAGGGACCCGUGAAAAGGCGCUAAAUGUCCGUACCUAGAACUGACACAGGUGCCCCUAGCUGAAAAGGCUAAGGCGUGUCGGAGUAAUUCAGUUAAGGGAAUUCGGCAAAUUAGCUCCGUAACUUCGGGAGAAGGAGUGCCUGCUGUGAAGACAGCAGGUCGCAGUGACCAGGGGGCUCCAACUGUCUAAUACCAACAUAGGAGAUUGCAAACCCGUAAGGGCUAGUACAAUCUCUGAAUCCUGCUCAGUGCAGGUACCUGAAACCCCGGUUCAACGGGACGAAGGGCCUGUAAACAGCGGGGGUAACUAUGACCCUCUUAAGGUAGCGUAGUACCUUGUCGCUUAAUUGGCGACUUGCAUGAAUGGAUUAAUGAGAGUCCUACUGUCCCUAACUGGAAUCCGGUGAAGCUUACAUUCUAGUGCACAGUCUAGAGACCUCUAGGGGGAAGUGAAGACCCCGUGGAGCUUUACUGCAGCCUGUCGUUGGGUUGUGGUUCUGGAUGUACAGAGUAGGUAGGAGGCGUCGAAGCAGGUGCGCCAGCAUCUGUGGAGCCGCAAUUGGGACACUACCCUUCCGGGACUACGACCCUAACUCUGCGAAGAGGACCCCGAUAGGUGGGCAGUUUGCCUGGGGCGGGACGCCCUUGAAAAGAUAUCAAGGGCGCGCAAUGGUUGACUCAAGCGGGUCGGAAACUCGCUGAAGAGUGUAAGAGCAUAAGUCAGCCUGACGUUAUUCAGCACAGCAGUGAAUGACGAGACGAAAGUCGGCUCUAGCGAACUUUUGAGCCUCCUUGGUGGGGGCCAAAAAUGACAGAAAAGUUACCCCGGGGAUAAUUGAGUCGUUGCCGGCAAGAGUACAUAUCGACCCGGCAGCUUGCUACCUCGAUGUCGGUUCUUUCCAUCCUGGCCGUGCAGCAGCGGCCAAGGGUGAGGUUGUUCGCCUAUUAAAGGAGAUCGUGAGCUGGGUUUAGACCGUCGUGAGACAGGUCGGUUACUAUCUACUAGAGGUGUUUGAGGUCUGAAGGUAAGCUGCUUUUAGUACGAGAGGAACCAAGCAGCGGCGCCACUGGUGUACCGGUUGUCUGACAAGGCAUUGCCGGGCAGCUACGCGCCAAAGAAUAAGAGCUGAAUGCAUCUAAGCUCGAAAUCCAACCUAAAAAGAGACCUCUUUAAGGAUUCCGGUAAAAGACCGGUUUGAUAGAAACGGGAUGUAAGCACCAAGGCAACGAGGUGUUCAGUCCGCGUUUACUAACUAUUCGUUCCUUUCCU